UAUAAUGUUAAAAAUCGACCUGAUCAGUUCACUGUUCUAGUUCAAGAAAUUCCUUUUUGCAAUGAACACAAAUCUCAUGGAUGUUGUGUGGGUCGCUUGUUCUCCAAACACUAUCCUUACACUUAUCAAGCAUAUCAAAUGGUACAUGAUGGGAAAGAUCUUGAGGAUUUGGUGGAGUUGCCUGCAGCAUUUGUAUCAUUCAAGACACGUUGUGCUUCUGCACUGGCUGCCCAAUCUCAACAGCAUGCUAAUCCACUUUUAUGGACCACAGAACAAGCUCCAGAACCAAGGGAAGUGCUAUGGAAUAAUUUAGCUAUUCCACAUUGCCUUUUAUUGCUCCAAAAAAUUGGGGUUUUCGUUGCAGCAACAGUUCUCACAAUUUUCUUUGCUAUUCCUGUCACUGCAGUUCAAGGAAUAGCAAAAUUUGAAAAAUUGAAGUGGUUUCCUCCAGCCAUGGCUGUACAGUUGAUACCUGGGCUAAGCUCUAUUAUAACCGGAUAUCUUCCAAGUAUGAUUCUUAAUGCAUUUAUAUACAUUGUUCCCUUCAUAAUUCUUUUAUUGGCUAAACGAGAAGGUUGUGUCUCAAGGAGCAAAAGAGAUAUAAAAGCCUGCAGCAUGGUUUUCUAUUUUUUAGUGGGAAAUGUGUUCUUCUUGAGCCUUUUAUCCGGUUCAUUACUUGAUCAAAUAGGAGAAUCUUUCACUCAUCCCAAGGAUUUUCCCAGUCGCCUUGCAAGUGCAGUCUCUUCUCAAGCAGAUUUCUUUAUAACAUACAUCUUGACAGAUGGGUUGUCAGGUUUUGCUCUGGAAAUUCUUCAACCUGGCUUGAUCAUUUGGCAUGCUAUUAGAGCUCUUUUUCGAGGACGAACGAAACAACCUUAUCUUUAUGCACUGCCCUACUACAGGGUUAUUCCUUUUGUCUCACUUUCUAUAUUAAUCGGAAUGGAAUAUGCAGUUAUUGCUCCAUUGCUGCUUCCAGUUCUUAUCGUGUAUUUCUUUCUUGGAUAUGUGGUGUAUAUAAAUCAGAUUCAAGAUGCAUAUGAAAUUGUCUAUGAGACAGGCGGACAAUUCUGGCCAUACAUUCAUCAUUACAUUUUUAUAUCAAUCAUUCUUAUGCAAAUUACUAUGAUUGGUCUAUUUGGAUUAAAGUCAAAGCCGGCAGCAUCCAUUGCUACAGUACCUCUCCUUUUGUUGACAUUAUUAUAUAACCAGUACUGCAACAUCCGGUUUCUUCCUUCAUUCUUCGUUUUGCCUAUCCAGAAUGCAGUGGAAAAUGAUGAACGUGAUGAGAAGGAUGGCCUGAUGGAAGUCAACUGUGAGACUGCUAUCCAUUCUUAUCGCUCACCUUGUUCACGGCCCAUGAAUUUUUCUCAAGAAUCAUACUUCACACAGCCUUUGGUAUCUUCAACAUGACAUUGCCCUAUGUUUGUUCAAUUCCAUUUUCCCUCCACACAAUUCGACGGGACCAACAAUUUCUCGCAAUGUUGAAGCUAUUACAUUACGAAUUUGAUACCACCCAUUUCUACCUUUCCAACAUUGCUUUUCUCCAUUGUUUAAAUGGGGACUCCCUGGCAGGACAAGCUUCACUUAAUGACAGUAUUACAUUGGCUCAACUUGUUUUUCUUAGCCUGCUGAUUUGGUGGAGUCAACUGGAUUUCUUGGAGCACUUUGCUAUUUGCUUCAGAUAUCUAUGGCCUCGACUAUUAAACAACCAGAUUAAACUUGCCUGGCGUCUGGUUUCAAACAUCUGAGCUAUCCCUGGUAUUUCUACGACUUGCUUUCAUUUGAGUUAUGUGUGAGUGAGCGAUCUUCAAGAAUGGUGUUAUGUAUGCCUUUUGACUGAUUAUCUUGAUUUUAGAAGCAUGAGUUCACAAAGUAUGGCUGGAGGGACACUGAAAUUGUAAGCUAGCAGCAUUUAGUUUAUAUUUGCUCGAGGCAUCUGCGCUGUCAACUUUUAGACAGCCAGAGUUAUCUUGCCUGGUGCUGUCCGGUUUUGACAUCUGCGCCGGCUCUGGUAACUUUCUUCCUAUGACUUGCUUUCAUCCAAGCUCUGUGACUGAGCAAAUCUCUGGAAGUGUUUCUUCUCAGAGGUGUCUCACAUACAGCAGCAUGAGUUAGCAAAGUGUGGCUCGACACAUUUUAAUUGUGUAAUCGAAUAAUCAUCACUCUAUAUUAAGCUCACCAUUUAAGAA